GCCAUGGCGGCGGCGGCGGCAGCAGCAGCGGGGGGACACGGGCGGCAAAGCGGCCCCGGAACCGAGCCCCCGAGGCUCCCCGAGGCUCCCCAGCUUGCCAGGCCCGCUCUCUGUGUUCGUCUCGUAGCGAUGCCGAGGCGGGGACGGGUCACCUGAGGGGCCGCUCGCCUCCCCCCCUCACGCCCUCGCCUCCCGCGGGGGUCUCUCUGCUCUCUCUCCUCGCACUGGCGAAAUCAGGCAGCUCUCAAAAGCUUCUGUUUGCCGUGGAUGUUGUGUUAUUCCAUAGCUCGGCAUCCCGGAGGAACUUCUGUUCCUCCCAGGAGGCCUUGCCCAGGUCUGCCUUGCGUUUGUGUGGGUUCUGAAAAAGGAAAAGAUGAGUGUGAUCUCCUGGCUCCUCUCUGGCAGCCCAAUAUUUGCAAAGGAUAUUGAGCUUGGGGAAACAACAGGGCUGUCAUACCUAGUAGGAUGAAGAGGCUAUGGAAACAAACAUGGACUGAUCCAGUGGCAUGCAGCUGUGAUGGAAGGACAUCCUGGUGGCUCUGCACAGCUUUACCUGGAUGCAUGUGAAAAGUCUUCAUUUGAAAGUUUGCUAAGCAACAAAUCCUUCAAAUAGAACAGGUUGCAACUCUGCUCUGCCUGAAAAGUACGCAUGCAUGGCCUGUCUCUGACUCUAUGCGUGCCUGAUUGUCCUUUAGGAUAUAACCCAGUGAGCAGGAGGAAUGGGUUUGAACUUGGCAAAAUGGCAAUAAAGGACGAAGCUGGAGAGCUGCUUCAUCAGGGCCAAUCCAUACUGUGGUUGGUCUCAUGGAAAGGAUCUUAUUGAUGAAUUACUGCAGCUACCCUCCCAGCCAUGGAAGAAUAUCUCAUACAAAAAAAUCCAUAGGGCUCCAGACUAAUCCUGUGGGGAGAGGAAAGUGCCUGUGGAGCUUGGCAAAAGUUGCUUGUCCUUUCCUCCUGAAGAUAUGGAUUUGUUCCUGGGUAGUGUGGGAGGUGGCUCCUCCUUCCUGCAUUUGUAGCCGCCAUGGAAACAGAUAAUUCCAGAAGACGGUCUAAUAAUGCAAUUGCAGACCCAAAUUACAGAGGUCUAAGACUCUCUCUCCUGACACUAAAUUGUACAUGCAUCUCCUGACAGCUAAAUUGUACACACAUGUGCAAGCAGUGUCACAAGCCUGCUCAGAAAUGCGCCAAACCAAGUUAGACAGAGACUCCAAGGCCUGAACAGCAUGAGAACGUGCCAAGGGCCAAGAAAGACAAAAAAGCACAAAGAGAUUCAAAGUUUAGCUCAUGGAAAGUGUGAAAUUAUAUUGUCAAUGUCAGGCCAUGAAACAAAGGAGGCAUUCUGUUGUUGAAUUUCAUGUUGCAGGCCCCUGUAAAGAUGCAGUACAGAAAGUAUUGAAGAUGCUGUGCAAGGCAGGUGUGUAAAAAGGAUGAGCAAACAGAGGAGGAUCGUGAGCAAGGAAAAAUUGAGAAGAAAGUUUUUGAAAAACGAAGAGGUCAGAAUAGAGCCUGGUGGCACAAAAGCUGAUAGGGAAGAAAAGGGGCAUGACAGCAGAAUGAAGACUGAAAGGAAGCACAGCCAUUAAUUUAAUUUGCUGCUUUUCAUUGGAAAUGUAUCCUAUUGCCAGUUCUGGGUGCCAUGCACACGUGUAACAACAUACAAGCUUUUCAGCUUGCCAGGGUGAAACUGCCUUCCGGAACUCUGGUGUCAAAGGCACCUACAAGACCAAAUGAAACAACCUUCAGUAUGAAAUCAAUGUCAGUGUUCAAUAACAUCCGGUGCCAGCCCAGCUGGGUGAGUAUGUGCCAGAGCAUUUGGAUGGUAAUUGGCUGAUGAAUCGAACUCUUAAGCAAACAGAUACCUAGGCAAAGAGCAGAGCAGCCAAAUUCCAGGGAGCACUGCCCUGCUAUCUCCACUGUAUUGCAAAAUCCGUCAGGUGAGUCAGAGGGAGAAGACAGCCCCGGGCAGUACCUGCAGGGAGUACUCUGACCCCUACUUUUGCAAACCUCGUGUUUCUGGGCCCUUUUCAAGUGUGCUUCCAGGCAGGACUCUGCCCUGAUGUCUGUGAGGAGGUGAACCAAGGUCUGCAGCAGGAACAAAGGGUUCAUUUGCUGAAAGGAGAUGAGUGCUGCCAGCAGGACAUCAGGAGAGAGCACCCUCAAAGCCCAACCUCCUGUUGCAGAGUUGUGUCCAGAGUCUGAGCUGUCAUUAUAAAAACAAACAGGCCAGAUCCUCAGCUGGCACAGAGCCACAGAAACUCAGCAUAGUAGCUCAAGCUGCAUGUUCUUUAUUGCUUGGGGCACUGAAGAUUAUGAUUGAAAAGAUGCCCAGGAUGUCACAGAUGAAGUAAAGUGUACCAAAUUUACCAGCAGCCUUAAGUAAAAGCCUAAGUUGCUUAAAUUAUCCUUGGAGUCAUUUUAGCAGUGAUCUUUUUUUACCUUUCUUGUGGGUGCUGUCAUAAAUGGCCUGUGGGAAGAGUGGAAUUGUCAUAUCUGGACAUUUUCAAGAAUAUCACUAUUGAGAUUCAAAUAGAUGCAGCUGAAGCAGAGGAACUUGAGUAGGUCAUCUCCUGGAGUCUCUUCCAACCUUUUUUGCAUGAUUUUAGCAAAUCUGUUCAGUUGCUGCCCUAAGCUGGCAAUACCACCCUGCUUCCAGAGGCUUGUGUCCCAGAAACUCCAGCUCCCAGACCCCUCUACUUCCUCCAUGACUACUCAUACAAUAUAAAAUGUGGUUUUGUCAGUUUUGCAAAAUAUUGUGUAAUCAAGAUCUGAACUGUGGCAACAGUGUGAAGUAAAACAGAAAGAUAUCAAAGUUAAUAGGUAACCUGCUUAUUACAGUGUUUUGUGUCCUGCUUAACGUAAUUUUCUACUUCAAAUUUGGCUGACAGUUGCCCUAAAAACACAAGUGUGCUCACAGCAAUACUGAAGCAAACUAGGCUUGAAGAAAGGAACCAGAACAAGGUGCUAGAUCUCCUUCUAGGAGUUUUCCAAAAGAGAUGUAGCUCACCACGGUUGGACAUCUGCUCCCAGAGCAUCCUGCUAUCACUUCACAUCCAAGUGCUCUUGACACUCCACCCUGCUGGUACCUCUUGUCUCCUGCCUGUGACUGGGACCAGCGUGAAACCUUGGGCUCCAUUCCCCUCACUGUAGGAGCCGAAAGCACAGGCCAGGUGUCCAGCCAAAGUGAGAGGUAGAGCUGGACAUGAGCUGGUUCCUGGUGAUUCACAGACCACUAAAGCAAUGUGUGAUAGUGGACCAGCUCUGUUAAACACUUCCAGAAUACCAUUGUGCUGUCCAUUAUUAUUUUCCAGACAUCUGAAUAUGGGCACGUUGUACUUUCCCUCCAAGGGUACCACAGGUCCAUCAGCAACUUCUCCUUUGCCCUUGAGUUCCUAAAUCAAGAAUUGAUAGGAAGAAUUUGUUGACACCAUUUUAGAUGUGUUGCCAGCACAUCUGAAAUGGCCUGGUUAUAUUGUCUAAAAAACACAGGUAGCUGACAAGUCCUGCAGAGAAAUGAUGCACAUGGGAGGACUGUGAGCGAGGACAGAGAGACGCUGCUGUUGAUAAGCUGCAAUCAGUGUUUGUUCCCCAGCACUCUAGGACCCACACAGCCAGCUGCAAUGUUGUGUGCUCCUGGUGCCUGACCUUCUCUGAGGCUGCCGUGCAUCUGUCAGCCUGACAGCUUCCCACUCCAUGGACCAGACACUGAGAAGGAGCAGGGGAAAGGAAAGGAAAGGCAGGGAAAGGCAGGAGGGCAAAUAAAUACCUGUAUUACUUUUUUUCCUGAUUUUAUACAUAGUCCAGGGAAAAGGACCUAGCAGGGGGCAAAUGAUUUCUGAGCACUGCUGUGCUAACAUGACAGCUUUAUGGAGAGGCACUUCUAGGUCAGGAGCCCAAUUCCUCCUACCUUUGUUUCAAGAACUGUUACGCAGGGGAAAGAAAGUAAUUUCCAGGGUAAAAUUGUGGUAGGGUGCCAGAUAGCACACCUGAAACCUUCCUUUGCCCUGUGACAGUGUGGUGUGGUUAUAUAGCUCAAAAAUAUGGAUGAUUUCCUAAAAAGUAAGGGCAGAAAAGAAAGGCAGAAAGGAUCCUGUGCAAGUUGCUGCUCUCUGCAGAUAGUCCCAUCCCAGUCCCACUGCCAGCCCCAUGGCAGGGGGGGAACUGGGGCUCUGUACUGCAAUGCAAGACCUGUGUUCAUGCAGCUAUAGCAUUUCUCCUCCAUCAUCUGUGCUAUUUUUCCUCCUUCCUUUCCCCCCUUACAGCUGACUGCAGCCAUCAAAGCUUGCUCUCUCCCUCCCAUCCUCUGUCCACUUGUCCCCUCAUUCCUCAGAACUCCUCUGGCACGGGCCUUUUGUGGCCUGGGGAGGAGAGAGAUGGGAGCAGGAGAGGGCAGAUCACUUGAGUGGAACCAGGAACCAGCAGAGUACAACCUCACAAAGAUGAGUUAGUGGGUCAGGAUGCUGCCCCAGGGUGGACAGGACUGAGGAAGUUGGUUAGAGGUGGAGCCACUCUGUGCUCAUGGCUUUUCCUUGGCUGCUCUGGUAGAGCACUACAGUCCAAGCCAAAGGAAAUUGUGCAGCUGAUUUUACUAACAGGAUGAAAUAAACCUCUUUUCACGGGCAGAAUUCAGCCCUGAAGGUACAUGAAUAAUGUCCCCUGAACUGGGAUCUGAUACUGCUCCCUGCAUUAGAUCCUGUUAGCAGGGAAACAAGCAAGGCCCCUCUGACCUCCCAGUGGUUGGUGGUGUUCAGGACAAACCACAAAUAACCCCUGAAGGCAGGAGGAGGGACAGGACAGAAAGUGGUAGAGGGUAUAAAUCAUCACUGCGAUCCCAGACAGAAACCAGGCAGGGGUCCUGAGCCUGCUCAUCCAGUCAGACGGGUCAGGUGACACCACAGCAGCAGGGGACAACACAGCCGAGGUGAUCUCAGCCCGCCACAUGGGAAGCAUGAGCUGGAGGAGACCCACUCCUUCCCCCACCCUACACCCUGCAGCCGUGGGCUGCUACGGCUGCCACGCUGCCCGCACAGUCACAGGGAUCAAAUACGCUUUUGGACAUGGAAGCUGUUAUUUCUCUGAAAUGAAACAGCUUCCCACACUCUUAUUAACCUGUGCCCCACUUCGGAAGCAAAUCUAAUUUGGAAUUUCAUAGUUAGCUGGUGCUGAUGUUGGUUUGUCCCUGUGUCUUCUCUGAUUUGGCUGGGUACAUUUAGCAGCUCUGUAUGUGGCAGAGUCCUGUUUAUUGUGGCUUGUGAGCAUUAUUCUUCAUAACAGAGUAAGGAAUUUGGGUGGUUGGAGCUUUUUGUUUCACGUGGGUAGAGAAAAGUUAACGCAGAAAUGUUUAAAUGUCCCUGCAA